rnacentral:lncRNA from 1 species
CAGAGCUUUAGAGAGACAACAAUGAUCCAUUGUCACAUCACAGUUUCAAGGGCACAGCUAUGAAUCUAAACGGUUCGGAGUUUGACCAUAAAGCUCAUCCCAGUGUGUAGGGGAGGAUCUCACAUCCUUUAUAGCUCCCUAGUAUCUUUCCUAAGAGAGAUGUGGAAACGAGCAAGGGAUCCAAGACUCUGAAUAUAGGGCAUUACACCUGGAAGGACUCUCAGGAUAACAUCUGGUGCACAUGCAAUAUUGACAAAAGAUAAUGCUGAAGGCCGGGAAGGUGAAGGCAUGCACUCGCGGUCCUGGAGCUGAG